rnacentral:rRNA from 1 species
GACGAAGGAUGCAGGCGUUAUCCGGAUUCAUUGGGGUUAAAGGGAGCGUAGGUGGUCUUAUAAGUCAGUGGUGAAAUCUUCUCGCUUAACGGGAAAACUGCCAUUGAUACUGUAGGACUUGAGUAUAGUUGCUGUGGGCGGAAUAUGACAUGUAGUGGUGAAAUACUUAGAGAUGUCAUAGAACACCGAUUGCGAAGGCAGCUCACAAAACUAUAACUGACACUGAGGCUCGAAAGUGCGGGGAUCAAACAGG